GUUGUUGAAUUUCCCACCAUUAUUACUAGAUAAGUCAGGCAGAGAAGAGACACGUGAUUUGGAGGAGAUGAGUCCUGCAGAGGAGAGGAGUAGACAGGUGACAAACCAAUGUCAACAGGGAGCCCCCAGGGAUCGAGAGUCCCCAAGGUCCAGACUGCAGAAGAGGCAAAGUGCUCUUGAGGAAACAACAGGAGAAGCUUCGCCUUCAGCUCCCGGAGUGAACUUCGCCUGUGCCCUUCUGGAGGACUCACACCCUUGUCAGAAAUCCGCAGUGCAGAGAAAGUUAAGAAGCCCUGCUGUAACAGAGGACCGAGCCCCGCAGCGGGGUGGCCACACCUCCCCAGCUGUGACCGGCGCUCUGAGAAGAACGAGGUGCUCCGUGGGCCUAGGAGAGAUAGCGCCAAGAGUUACUUCCCCGGAGAAGCUCAGAGCUACAUUCCCCGUUGGCAUUUGGCUGAGAGAAGAGGGAUCAGAACUGCUGACCUGAGAGCCCCCUGCCUCCGUGGGAAGAAGCUGCUGCUGUCUGCUGCUGGCUUUGUCAGAGUAGAUGAUAACCCACAGCCUGAACGCUUGGGACCACACAGCUCCCAGAUUGGCACCCAGAGGCCUGGAGGGGUGAGCGGCACUGAACUUCAGGAUGUGAGAUAUGUAAUUAAGGACUAUUAAGACAGGAUGUGGAGGCAGAAACAAAGCCAAGCAGUAGGUAUUUCUUGGGCAUCAGCUCUGUGAAGGAAAAGCCAUAUCUGCUCCAGGCCUGCUGUGGACCAAAAAGAGAGGACCUCAGUCUUCAUGCCUGAAACGUAGGGAAGGACAGGUGCAGAUGAACAAGUGGGUGAAUACGCUUCUUGUUCAGGCCUUCAUCCCUAGAGCAAACAGUCCCGGUGGUGAGCAGGAUGCCUGCGUUUGAAUUCUAGUCUCACGGCCUGCGGCCUGGCCCUGGGGAUAUUGUUGCUUCUCUCUCAGCUUCAGAUCUCUGCAUCUUCUCCAUAAUCUUUACCUUCAGGAUAAUCCUGAGGACUUAAGCAGAAAUUCUGCCCGGCUCAUGAGUGUUUGAACAAGUGCACUUUGCUUUUGACAUCAGAGCUCAUUUUGGAACCAUGUUCCUGGACUAGAAGGCGGGCUUUCCUACUUCUGAGCUGUGUGGCCUUGGAAAACUUACUUAGCAUCUCUGUGUCCAGUUUCCUGCAUACGGUUUAAUUAUCUGUACUACCAGUGUUCAAUGCCAUGACCCUUUUCAUUUUAUUUUAUGCUCAGAACUUCUGUAGGGUUGUUGUGAGAAUUAAAUAAAAUAUAUAUUCAUAUUAUAACAUAAUACAUAUGUUUCUUAGAUGAUUUAUUGCCGGGCAUAUAAAAAGCACUCUAUAUAAAUGUUUGCUAUUAUUGUUGUUUAAAUUCAUCCAGAUCAUUUAUUCAAGAAAGUUGAAUUUAACACCUGCUCAAUGCCAGGCAGUGAAAAAACCAAAUUAUCGCCACACUCACGGAGCUUACACUCGAGGAGGGAAACAGAUACUAAAUAAAAUACGAUGCAGGGAAAACGAGGGAGGAGGCAAGGUGCGUGGUGGUGGGACAGGUCCCUUUUGAGUCAGGCCAGCAGGUGAGGGGCACCUCCGGGUCUGACGGAAGCCCACCACAGGGCGGUCUGACAAGACCAGGGAGGUGCUCCGACCACAGGGUCCAGCCGCUUGGCCUGGAUGUAAGACUGAACAACAGUUACUCCAUCUUUGUAAUAGGGCCCCAACUUUCUGCUUCUGUUACAGAUCACCCGAUAGACAUCAAGUUCCAGGGACGUGCUUGUUGUUGUGCCAGGAAGGUCUGUUGUGUGCAUAGUGUUCUGUCAUGCUUGCCCAACUCCAUAUCUGAAUAUGUUAUCUUAAGGACAAUCUGUAAAAGGUCUGUUUUAUCUCUCUCCUCCGCUUUUGUAUUUCUGCUUGCCAACUUCCCCUGAGACCCCCUAUAAAAACAGC